CAUUUCUCACAUGCUGAUGCAGAAAAGCAAUUGAGACUCAUUAAUUUGGCUGUGAGAGGAAUUAAACACAUACUUUAAAAGUCUGGCUGUUAACCUAAAAAAAACAACAUGCUAUCUAUCCAGCUGCAAUUCCCUAGAUGGAGAAAAAAAGGUGUUUUCUGUGUUGGCUGUCACUGCUUUUGCUGCAUGAAUCCUGAAGACCUCUGGAGUGGCCAGGAAAGCAGCGUUCUCCUCUCUCAGGCUUUAACCACUGUUCUUACAUGUAGAAGAAGAAACUUUAGGGUAGAGAAGCAGCUGGAGAUGAAGUGAGGAUUUAUUUCUAAAUCAGCACCCCACCUAGGAUGACAGUGAAAUAUCUGAUAAGGUGCUGAGCUGAGCAUGAUGUCACAUGCAGUUUUUCAGGCACUGGAAAAUGUUAGUUCACUCUCAAAGAAAAUUCCUAGAGAUUCUUCUCUAGGCCACAGUGAUAUUAAAGAAGAUAAUAAUUUAAUUGAAAAACAGCACUUCCUUCAAAAUUAUUUCAAGUCAAUAGGACAAUUUCUCCUGACCACAGGAUAAAGUGCUUGAUGUCUGGGUCUUGAUUUUCACUGAGCAGCUAUAGAAUUUGACACUAUAAGGAGACAUAUUUGGAAACAGACAAACUUUUUUUUUAAAAAAAUUGCUCUGUGUGCAUGUGCUAUUUUUAAGUGACUGAAGAAAUUUCAGUGGGGAUGAAAAGGAGAAAAAUGCAGAUACUCAUCCAAUAAAAUUCAAACUUUUCUUCAACUAACAUAAUGCAGUAGCACAUAAAUUAUUUAAAUUGAGGGUUUAUGGUA